CUGUCUGUGUGUCUGUUCCAGCUGUAACUGCUCAACGAUUGCAAUGCGACGAAAACUAACAGCUUCUAGCCACGUUCUCCAAUACAUAUAACAAUAUGCAUGUACACAAGUUUUUUCUUCUUGGAUAUUAUAUACACUUGAACUACAGAUCCUGGAAGAAUCAAUUUUCUUCAUUCUUGAGCCGGCCAGUGAGAACGUAUUUACUGCUCCAGUGGCAAAGAAAGCAAGAAAAUUCGCUCCCCCAAAGUCAAGUAAAGAAGUAAAACAAGCAAGAAAGGAAACAAUACCAAAGAAACACUCAUUGUCAUCAAGUAUUGCUUAUUAUUAUGUACUUUUAUUAUGGUUAUUAUCUUAUUUUGAUCAAAUCUUUGCUACAUGAUUUUCUAUUGAAGUACAUGAUUUUCUAAGUAA